rnacentral:lncRNA from 1 species
CAAAUCCUCUGAGCAUUAAUGUCGUUGAGACAGAAAAAGUUCAGAAGCAAGGGAAGGUGAAACUCAGUACCAUUCCAUGUCAGAUUUGCUCUGGAAAACAUGGUGCACUGAACUGCUACAAUAGGCUGAAUAUCACAAAGUAUCCACCAACACACAAUAGAGUACUAUCACCUAACGGGCCUACUGGCAAAAUGUCCGUUAACACUGCAUAUAAAGCUUCUGGAUCUAUUUGGUAUCCUGAAACAGGUACUGUUGAUGAGCCUACUGUGAAUAUGGUACAAUGCAGGAAGAAACACAUCUUUGGUAUGCAGAUUCAGGAGCUACGAAUCAUGUUACAAGAGCUCAGCAAAAUAUCCAGCAAUCUGUGGAAUGUGAUAAGGCCAUCAAUACAGCAGAUGGAAGGCCUAUGAAGAUCACUCACUAUGGUAAUUCUAGUUUUUCAGUAAAUAAUAGAAUGAUUAAAUUAGAACAGCUUCUUUAUGUUCCAUCAGCAUCCAAGAACUUAAUCUCUGUCAAGAAGUUCUGUAUUGAUAACAGGGUUUCUAUGGAAUUUGAUCCACAGAAGGUGACAGUGAAGGAUCUGGUCACAAAAGAAGUACUAAUGUCUGGACCUGAAGGAGAUGGGUUGUACGAGAUCCCCAUAAAUAUAAGAAGCACUGAACUGCAGGUGAAUCAGGUGGAGAUGGGCAAAAAGGCAAAUGCAAGGACCUGGCAUCUGAGGCUAGGACAUUUACACUCAAGAGCAGUGGAAGACUUAAAUAAAAUUAAGAGGAUUAUUGUUACCGAUUCUAAAAAUAUUCAUGUACCAUGUCAAAAUUGUUGUGUAACGAAAUCUAAGAAAUUAAGUCAUUCUAAGAGAUCCACUGUUUACAAUAAUCCACUUGAGCUUGUGUUUGCGGAUGUUUGGGGUCCUGCACCUAGGGAUUCUUCAGAGGGUUAUAAAUACUACAUAAAUUUUGUAGAUGCAUCCACUAGUUUUAAUUGGUUAUUUUUGAUGAAAAGGAAGUCUGAGGUAGAGGACUGUUUUGUGCAAUUUCAGAAAUUAGUGGAAAGACAGUUUGAACUUAAAAUCAAGGCAGUUCAAAGUGAUAAUGCCCAUGGUUCCGGAUGCGCCUCUGCGCGAUGCGCCGCCACCUGGAGCAUCUGAGCAUAUGCGUGCAUAUGCGUGCAUAUGCGCUCAGAUGCGCCAGUGGCAUUUUCGUAAAUAUUUAUAAAAUUAUAGGAAAUUAAUAUUUUUUUAUAUAUGUAUAUCAAUUAUCAAAAUACUUUAAGUCUUUAAAUAGUUUGAAACACAUAGAAUAGUUCCCUUUAACCUUCCGUCUUUAAAAAUCAAUUAUCAAAAUUCCGUCUUUAAAAAUCACUGUUUUUUAUUUUUUUACCCUUUUUUGACUUUUUUUGACUUUUUUUUUUCCCUCCAAAUUUCUUCGCCGGAAUCUGGCCGGAGCUUCGCCUGAGGAACGCCUGAGGAACCCCCAAAAAAUCGGGAGGAGAUCUGGCCGGAGUUGGGAGGAAUGGGGAAGAGAAGGUUAAACCCUAGAGAGGGGUUUGCGUUUCCAAUCUUAUAAAAUCUAAAAACAGUAAAUGCAAAUACUGUUUUAACUUAUGACAUUUAAUAACUUAAAAUAGACCGGAUCCGGGUCGGAUCCGACCCGGAUCCGGUCUGUUUUAAGUUAUUAAAUGUAAUUGGGAAAAUUGCAGUUUUUCCCAAUUACUUUUUAUAACUAAAAUUAUUUUAAAAUUAUUUCCCAAUUACUUUUUAAAAUACACUAAAAUUAUUUUAAAAAGCCGGAUCCAGGUAGGAUCCGACCCGGAUCCGACUAAGGGAGAUGCGCCGGGCGCAUCUCCCUUCCGGGUCGCAUCAUCGCAUGCGCGCAUAUGCGCGCGCACCCGGAUCCAUGAUAAUGCCAAGGAAUUUCUCAAGCUUUCCACUUAUCUUAGAAAGAAUGGUAUAAUUCACCACCUUAGUUGUCCACACACUCAUCCUCAAAUGGGUAAGGUGGAAAGAAGGCAUCGACACAUAGUCGAUACAGGGCUGGCCAUGCUCAAUCAUGCAAAGAUUGAAGAUCAUUUUUGGGAUUAUGCAUUUAUGACUGCUGUUUACAUCUAUAACAGAAACCCUACAAGUGUCUUGGGAGGAAUCUCUCCAUAUGAAGCACUCAAUCAUAGGACACCGGAAUAUUUUAAAAUGAGAGUUUUUGGUUCUAUUUGUUACCCUAACAUGAGGCCAUAUAGGGAGGAUAAAUUGGGUAACAAAUCUCAUCAGUGUGUGUUCAUGGGAUAUCCUGGAAAUUGUGAUGGAUACAUAUGCAUGAACAUGGAAGAUGGAAGGACAACACUAUCAAGAGAUGUAGUGUUUCAUGAAAAUGAUUUUCUUUACAAGAAGGGUGUGAAUUCAGAAAACAUAAUGCAGUCAGAUCAUAGUACAGACGAUGAAGAAGAACAAGAAACAGUACAAGCAUCUGAAACAGAGGUUGCUGUGAGAUCAGAAAAUGUUUCAGAUAUUAGUGUUCCCUCUAUACCUACAAUUCAGACUUAUACCAGAAGGGAGAAAGUUCUUCAGCCAACAGAAUCUUCACGAGCUGUGGCUCUUUCAGAACAUUCCAUUGAUGCAAUUAAUGAGCAACAGGCAGUGGCAGAAGGUUCAUUAAGUGAUGAAAAUAUUUCAUCAUCUUCAGAUGAAGAGUAUCAGCCUAAUAUCUCUGAGAAGGAGGAUGUGGUGCAUAUUCCAGUAACAAGGGCAGCAUCAAAGAGAGGAAAUUCAAAAUAUGUUUUAUCGAUUACUCCUACUCAGAAAAUUGCACCAAAGUCUGUUAAGUUGGCAUUGACAGAUCCUGAAUGGAAGAAGGCAAUGCAACAAGAAUAUGAUGCCCUCAUGAAGAAUGAAACAUGGGAAUUGAUACCCAAAUCUGCCACAGACAAUGUCAUAAACAGCAUUUGGUUGUUUAAGGUCAAAGAAAAAUCUGAUGGGACAGUUGAAAGGCUAAAGGCUAGAUUGGUAGCCAAUGGAACCAAUCAAGUAGAGGGGCAAGAUUAUGGUGAAACAUUCAGUCCUGUGGUGAAGCCCAAAACUAUAAGAGUAGUCCUUACCAUUGCAGUUUCUAGAGGAUGGGAGAUGCAACAGAUUGAUAUUAGCAAUGCUUUUCUUCAUGGGCAGUUAGAAGAGAAGAUUGUUAUGAGGCAACCAGCUGGCUUCCUUGAUGAAUCAAAACCAAGGCAUGUAUGUCUUUUGAAAAAGGCACUCUAUGGCUUAAAGCAAGCAUCCAGGAUGUGGUUUAGACGGUUGAAACAGUCCUUGAAUAGAAUGGGAUUCAAAGCAUGCUUUUCUGAUGAAUCCUUAUUUGUGAGAAUUGAUGAUGAAGUCAUCUACAUUUUAGUCUAUGUUGAUGACAUGGUUAUUACUGGUUCAAGCUCAGAAAAGGUGGAGUGUCUGGAUACUCUAAAGUCUGAAUUCGCAGUAAGGUUGUGUGGAGAUCUCGAAUAUUUUCUAGGGAUAAGGGUAAGAAAACAUGUGGAUGGUGUGUUUUUAGACCAACAAUUAUAUUUGGUCAAUCUGUUGAACAAACACAAUUUUCAAAGCCUUAAACCUAUUUCUACUCCAAUGCAACAUGAUCAAUCUUUUUUCUCUGAUGCUGGAAGUAAUUGAAAAUGCAACUGAAUAUAGGAAGAUUGUUGGUUCCUUGCAGUAUUUGACAAUGUCAAGACCAGACAUUGCAUAUUCAGUCAACAAGCUGGCUCAGUUCAUGGAAAAACCUAAGAAGAUUCACUGGCAGAUGAUGAAAAGAGUUCUCAGAUAUCUGACUGGAACUCAGUUCAUGGGAGUUGUUCUUAGAAAAUCCAGUAAUUGCAACAUUUCAGCCUACAGUGAUGCUGAUUGGGCUUCAGAUGAGACAGACAGGAAGAGUCAGUCAACAGCUUGAUGUAUGCAAUGAUUUGUACCAAACCUGACAUCUCUCAUGCAGUGGGAGUUGUGAGCAGAUUUAUGUCAAAUCCAGGUGAAGAACAUUGGAAGGCUGUGAAGUGGAUUUUGAGAUACCUUCAAAAUACCACAACUGUUGGCAUAUGGUUCACCAAAAAUUCUGUAGUCUUGAAGGGAUAUUGUGACUCUGAUCUUGCAGGAGAUCCUGACACUAGUAAAAGUACCUGUGGAUAUAUAUUUUGCAUUGGGGGGGCUGCUGUAAGCUCGAGAUCAAGAUUGCAAGGACAGGUUACACUCUCUACAACUGAGGCAGAGUAUGUUGUUGUUGAAACUGCAAAAGAAAAGAUUUGGCUGGAAAAUUUGUUGAAAGAAUUAGGAUGUGGCCAGAUGGGAUCAAUGUUGUACAGUGAUAGCCAGAGUGCUAUCUACCUUGCAAGGAAUCCCAAGUUUUACUUAAAAUCCAAGCACAUUAGACAGAAAUAUCACUUCAUCAGAGAAUUGAUCGAGAAGGGAGAACUAGACUUGAGGAAGGUGUCUGGAGAAGAGAAUGCAUCAGACAUGCUGACUAAAGUGAUAACUGAUAAGCAUUGGGAAGCUAAGGCACUGCAUUGCCUUAGUGGGUCUUCUUGAUCAUGGCUAGACAAGAAGGAGGUGCAUUGGUGGUGUUAACAGUCUCCAAGUGGGAGAUUGUUGAGGUUUAAUGUAAUUGGGAGUUACAAGUAUGGAGACUGUUUUAUUGGUAUUUAAUUGGCCAAUUAAAUGGUCGGUUACAAAGCCAAUUAAUGAGUCAUUAUUUUGGGAAUGACCCAAAAUAAUCCAUAUAAAUAGCUACACUUAUAUUAAACUUGUGUAUAAGUUGUGUGAGUUGUAAUAGGGCUUAGACACCAUCAUUCUAGUGCACUAUCGUAGACGUACACCAUCAUUGGGUGGAACCACGUAAAAAUUCUUGUGUCCUUUUAUUUUUCCCUGCACUUUCUUUAUUCUGUUGAUCACUCUUAUUCUCAACAAGAAUCUCAACCUCAUUUUCGUAAGAAGAUUACUCUGAUCUUAGGAAGCGUUUAACAGAUUUUACAUCUGUCAAGGAGUGAUCAUUAGAUCACUGUCAAUGUUAAUGCUGAAAAGAGUUCAAUGACAUUAUCCAAGAUUUGUACACAAGACCAAACACUCCUAGGUAUCCUUGAUUUUCCUACCAAAACCCUCCCUUUCACAUACUUAAGACUCCCAAUAACAGGAAAAAAAAAAUUCUACAACCAAUGUUGGAAGGUGAUACAACCCAUAGAAAACAUGUUGGCCAAGUGGAGUGGGAAAUGCCUCUCCUAUGGAGGAAGAAUACAACUAGUAAAUUGGAUUCUUGCAGGAAAAUACACAUAUUGGGCCCAAGGCACAACCUUACCAGAAUCAGUCAUAAGGAAAAUAAGAAAGUUAGCCUGCAACUUUAUAUGGGAUGGAAGAAAAGGGAUACCAUGGAAACAAAUGAUCUUCCCCAAAGCAGAGGGAGGAUUGGGAGUAAGAAACCUAGAUAUCAUAGUUCCAGCCAUAAACAUUAAAAGGAUUGCAAAUUUCUGGACAAAAUCAGACUCAAUCCUGAAUACAUGGAUCCAAGGGAGAUACAUAAAGGGAAGGGUUCUUACAAACAUUCAGAUCAAAAACUCUAUCGACUCUCAUGCUUGGAAAUUUAUAAUAGGAGAUACCCCUAAGGUUCUCACACUAACAGAGUGUGGACCAAAUUACACAGUGCUCUGGAAAAGUGGAAACACAAAAAGAAACUUGCAAAAAUAGGUGAUGAAAUUAGAGACAAAAAUCAUAAAAACACUCUAGCUGAAGGAAUAUGGGCCAACAAACUCACAAAAUUCUCUAUACUUCUAUGGAGAAUAAAAUGGGGACACUUAAAUACCUUCACCAGGCUAAAUGGAUGGGGCAUGUACAUCCCACCCACCUGCCUAUUAUGCAACUUAGAAAAUGAAACCAGAGGACACCUUUUUUAUAACUGCAUCUACUCUAGAGCCAUCCUUCUACCCCUAGUUGAAAAAUUAAACAAUAUUAUCUGGAAAAUCAUGAACAUCCCCACACCCAUUACCACAUACCCAAACAUCAAAAUAGGAGACCUAAUUGAGGCAUGUCAAAAGCUAACACAUCAUUCUCAAAUUUGGGGCCUAUUAUGGAAUAUGAUUGGAGCUUUGAGUUGACACAUAUGGGCUAAAAGAAACAGAAGAUGACAGCAACAUUCUCUCAGACUACCAGAAACGGUUCUUAAGAAGGUUUUAAAUGACAUCAACAACUCCUUCAGGCCAAAGAGCUUCAAAAAGAGUUGUUGAUGUCGUUGAGACAGAAAAAGUUCAGAAGCAAGGGAAGGUGAAACUCAGUACCAUUCCAUGUCAGAUUUGCUCUGGAAAACAUGGUGCACUGAACUGCUACAAUAGGCUGAAUAUCACAAAGUAUCCACCAACACACAAUAGAGUACUAUCACCUAACGGGCCUACUAGCAAAAUGUCCGUUAACACUGCAUAUAAAGCUUCUGGAUCUAUUUGGUAUCCUGAAACAGGUACUGUUGAUGAGCCUACUGUGAAUAUGGUAGCAAUGCAGGAAGAAACACAUCUUUGGUAUGCAGAUUCAGG